rnacentral:rRNA from 1 species
UCCCGGGAACGUAUUCACCGCGGCAUGAUGAUCCGCGAUUACUAGCAAUUCCAGCUUCACGCAGGCGGGUUGCAGCCUGCGAUCCGAACUGAGACCGCUUUUUGAGGUUCGCUCCACCUCGCGGUAUCGCUUCUCUCUGUUAACGGCCAUUGUAGUACGUGUGUAGCCCAGGUCAUAAGGGGCAUGAUGAUUUGACGUCGUCCCCACCUUCCUCCGUUUUGUCAACGGCAGUCCUGCUAGAGUGCUCUUGCGUAGCAACUAACAGUAAGGGUUGCGCUCGUUGCGGGACUUAACCCAACAUCUCACGACACGAGCUGACGACA